CUUUUGUCUUUUCUCUAAACCUUAGUCUAGCAUUUGUUUAUUUGAAAUCCUCCUUUUUCUUCUUUAUUGUAUUACUAGGAUAGGCCCGUCCUACGGGCGGGAUAUAAUUUACUUGUGAUCUAGAUUUUAAUUUUUUGUACGAUUCGUGGUUUGUGUUUUAGGUUUGCAUUUGUAAGAAAUAUGUAUUAAAAUGAUUGUUGUCUAAUAGAAAAUUUUAAGUGACGAAAAAUAUUAUAUUCAUUUUACUUAAAGUUUGAUGUUUGCUUCUUUUUGUAACUUGUUUUUGUUCUUUUAUUUGUUGUCAAAUAUAUUUUAUGACAUUAUACUGUUUUAGGUAUUGUUUUUCUUUCUUGUUAUGUUUUUUUAUAAUGAGAAUACAUUUUUAUGUCAUCUUCGCAAAUCUCUAACUAAAAUUCAUUAUUUUUUAUUAUUCUUUUUAGAGAUUAUAAAGUUGUAUGACACGAAUUUCAUGAUUGAAAUGAUAUAUAUUUUCUUAAGGUUUCCUCAAUUUUUUUAUAUAUAGUAAGUAAAUUGAAGUUUGUAUUGUUGUUGUUAGGUUUAAUACUCCAAAUAUUGAUUAUUUUAUAUUUUGUAUACAUUGAAUGUACUUGUGUUUUUAUAAAAUAUUAUUAUUCAGUUUUGUAUAUAAUCGGUGGCUUUUUUACUUAUUCUAUUACCUCUUAUAUUGUUUUUAUUUGUUAUACCGAAUAAUUUAUUAUUUUAUUUUAGAAUUUUACUAUAUAUCUAAUAACAUAAAGUAGAGAGGGACUCUCUUCUCCUGCGCCAGCUCAAGAAAUAGAGACAGGAUGUUGCGACACGUGUCCAAUCAGUGAAACUCAGUGCGUCGUUUAAGUCGUUGUCUAUGGGUUCCAUUGUUUUGUUGGGCUUUACAGCAUGCAGCCCAUCACGUGUUUUAGAACAUAAUGGUAACUAAACGCCCCGUUUUGGAUUAGGUGUACGCAUAAUGGUUUACGCUUAUCGCGUCUCCAGAUCGAAAGGUGACACCCCUUGCGCAGCUGACGUUCCGUCUCCUUCGUUGCAAGCACUCAAAAACCGAUCAAUCAAUCAUCUUUAAUCCCCCCCCCAUUAAUCUAUCACCCACGAUCUGGAUUCAAUGUGAUAUUGUUGAUGUGCAAGGCGUUCGAGUCGACUAUAAAAAAGCCGGUGGCUCCUCUUCCACCGUCGAAGUGUGCUUGCUCCGCUUCUGGGAGGCCAGAAACGUCCGCCGUGGUGGAGAACUCAUGGGCGUCGACAUGCUCUUGCUUCACUCUCAGGCUGGAGGUGUUGGCAAGACAUACAUAUUCCAGCUCAGCGUGACCAGUUUCAUUACACUGCAGAGCGUCAGACCUUCACAGUCUUACGCAUCUUCAACGAGUCCCUGAUAUGUUAGUUUGUAACUCACUUGAUAUUCUGUCAAAAUAACAAUGUGUGUCUUGGUGUUAUCAGGGAGACAACGGUGGUCUUGGAGAUGAUAUGAACACUGGAAGCUCAACUUAAGUUGAAUCUAAAACUCUUCCGAGGCUGCUGCAACGGAUCUAGAUCAGCUGCAGUCAACGUGUUCAUCCUACGUUAUCAUAUCGUCUGGGUUUUUGAGCAUUCCUUACUGCAGAUUCAUCACCGUCAAAGCCGUUUUUACCAAUUUUGCAGCGAGGCGACUUUACCAGAAUGGAUUUGGCUUGGCGGAAGUUGUGUGUAUGAUGAGCAGUGCUGCAUAUCAAGCUAAGAAGAGAAGCAACAAUGUACAAUUAGCGGAAGAGACUGUAGCUCACCGCCAAGCCCAUGCUUUGAAGCGUGUAUGAAUUGGCAAUCAGAAUACUGCUGGGAUCUCUACUGAUGAUGAAGACUUAUGAGAUUGAAGCUUUUAGUCAGGACAGAAAGAGAUGGAGGAUACUUUAAUGCUGAUGGGAACUUUGUAGAAUAUGUUAGAGACAAGGAAGUCAAGGUGCAGAUCAAACAUUGGUUUAAUGUUUGAGGAAAAUGAUCAAGGUCAAACGUUGGUUUAACGUUCUAGGAACGUGAGCAAGAUCAAAUGCAAAAUUUGAAAAAGAGUCAGCAAUUGCAAGUAUGGUAAAGGGCACACAGCUUCAAGACGUCAUCAGUUAAUGUAUAUACAAAUAUACAAUAGUUAGAAGGUCAUUUGUAUUGUUAUCCAUUGGUCGCUUACAAUGACGUUGUGAGUCAAAAACGCAUAGGACAUGCCAACAUUUGAAUAAAAAGGGAUAUGCUGAGAGUAUUAGAAAGUUGAGUGCUUUAUAAACUAGGGAUUAACCCGGGCUACGCCCGGGAUUUUUAUAUUUUUCUAAUUUAAGUUGUUAAAUUAUUUAUAUUUAGGUUAUGAUAUAUAUUUAUAUAAAUGUUAAGAUGUAUGUCAUAAUUAAAAUUUAUUUUUAAA